GGGUCGUUAGCUCAGUUGGUAGAGCAGUUGACUUUUAAUCAAUUGGUCGCAGGUUCGAAUCCUGCACGACCGACCA
rnacentral:tRNA from 1 species